rnacentral:rRNA from 1 species
AAAAGUAAGUAAGGGCACAUGGCGGAUGCCUUGGCUCUCGGAGGCGAUGAAGGACGUGAUAAGCUGCGAUAAGCUGCGGGUAGGUGCAAAUGACCUUUGAUCCGCGGAUUUCCGAAUGGGACAACCCGGUACCUUGAAGAGGUACCAUUCCACAAUGUGGAAGGCUAACGCAGGGAACUGAAACAUCUUAGUACCUGCAGGAAAAGAAAAUAAACAAUGAUUCCCCCAGUAGUGGCGAGCGAACGGGGAACAGCCCAAACCACCCAUGUUACGGCAUGUGUGGGGUUGUAGGACCACGUCGUGGCAAGAAAGUUGGUGAGCAGAAUGUUCUGGAAAGUACAGCCAUAGAGCAUGACAGCUGCGUAUGCGAAGCCAAGCGAAGCCUAGUGGUAUCCUGAGUAGCGCGGAGCACGAGGAAUUCUGCGUGAAUCUGCCGGGACCAUCCGGUAAGGCUAAAUACUCCCGAGAGACCGAUAGUGAACCAGUACUGUGAAGGAAAGGUGAAAAGCACUUCGAACAGAAGAGUGAAAUAGUUCCUGAAACCAUGUGCCUACAAGCGGUCGGAGCACCUUCUGGUGUGACGGCGUGCCUUUUGCAUAAUGAACCUACGAGUUACUUUUUCCGGCGAGGUUAAGGAUUUCAGAUCUGCAGCCGAAGCGAAAGCGAGUCUGAACAGGGCGUAUAGUCGGAAGGAGUAGACGCGAAACCAAGUGAUCUACCCUUGGGCAGGUUGAAGGAUGGGUAACACCAUCUGGAGGACCGAACCAAUAAGCGUUGAAAAGCUUCUGGAUGACCUGAGGGUGGGGGUGAAAGGCUAAUCAAACUUGGAGAUAGCUCGUACUCCCCGAAAUGCAUUUAGGUGCAGCCUUGACUUAUACUGGCAUGAGGUAGAGCGACUGAUAAGAUGCGAGGGCUUCACCGCCUAUCAAGUCUUGACAAACUCCGAAUGCGUGUCAGUUCUAUGUCAGGAGUGAGGGCAUGGGUGCUAAGGUCCAUGUCCUAAAGGAGAACAAUCCGGACCAACAGCUAAGGUCCCGAAAUGAAUACUAAGUUGAACUAACGAAGUCAGAUUGCUAAGACAGCUAGGAUGUUGGCUUGGAAGCAGCCAUUCAUUUAAAGAGUGCGUAACAGCUCACUAGUCGAGGAGUUUGGCGUGGAUAAUAAUCGGGCAUAAGUAUUCUACCGAAGCUUUGGGAUGAGAAAUCAUCGGUAGGGGAGCAUUCCACUCGGCGUCGAAGGUGAAGCGCGAGCUUUGCUGGAGCGUGUGGAAAAGCAAAUGUAGGUAUAAGUAACGAUAAAGGGGGUGGGAAACCCCCUCGCCGAAAGACUAAGGUUUCCUGAUCAACGCUAAUCGGAUCAGGGUAAGUCGGGUCCUAAGGCUCAGCCGAACGGCGAGGCCGAUGGCAGAACCGGUUAAUAUUCCGGUACUACCUGUGGGAGUGACGUGGAGACGGAGUCGUGACAGCGCCGCGGACUGACGGAAUAGUCCGUUGAAGGGUGUAGAUGCUGAUUGUUCCAGGCAAAUCCGGAGCAAGAGUCGAACCUGACAGUAUGGAGCGUUCUUAGAACAAUCCAAUAGUGCGUGUAAUCAUACUUCCAAGAAAAUCCGCUAAACUUAAUCCUGCAGGUACCCGUACCGCAAACGGACACACGUAGUCGGGUUGAAUAUACUAAGGCGCUUGAGUGAUUCACGGUUAAGGAACUAGGCAAACUGACCCUGUAACUUCGGGAUAAAGGGUCCUCGCUUAACGGCGAGGCGCAGAGAAUAGGUCCAGGCAACUGUUUAACAAAAACACAGGGCUGUGCAAAAUUGAAAGAUGAAGUAUACAGCCUGACACCUGCCCGGUGCUGGAAGGUUAAGAGGAGAUGUCAUCGCAAGAGAAGCAUUGAAUUGAAGCCCCAGUAAACGGCGGCCGUAACUAUAACGGUCCUAAGGUAGCGAAAUUCCUUGUCGGGUAAGUUCCGACCUGCACGAAUGGUGUAAUGAUCCGGACGCUGUCUCAACCAUGAGCUCAGUGAAAUUGUAGUAUCGGUGAAGAUGCCGAUUACCCGCGAUGGGACGAAAAGACCCCGUGAACCUUUACUAUAGCUUAACAUUGAAUUUGGGUAAUUGAUGUGUAGGAUAGGCCGGAGGCUUUGAAGCGGGCACGCCAGUGUCCGUGGAGCCGCUGUUGAAAUACGGCCCUUUGAUUAUUUGAGUUCUAACCCGUUGUUGCGGGGACACUGUUUGGUGGGUAGUUUGACUGGGGUGGUCGCCUCCAAAAGUGUAACGGAGGCUUCUAAAGGUGCCCUCACGACGAUUGGUAACCGUCGGCAGAGUGUAAUGGCAUAAGGGCGCUUGACUGGGAGACUUACAAGUCGAUCAGGUAGGAAACUAGAGCAUAGUGAUCCGGUGUUUCUGUAUGGAAAGGACAUCGCUCAAAGGAUAAAAGGUACUCCGGGGAUAACAGGCUGAUCCCUCCCAAGAGCUCAUAUCGACGGAGGGGUUUGGCACCUCGAUGUCGGCUCGUCACAUCCUGGGGCUGGAGAAGGUCCCAAG